rnacentral:rRNA from 1 species
GAUGAACGCUAGCGGCAGGCCUAAUACAUGCAAGUCGAACGGGAUCAAGAUCAACGCUUGCUUCGGUUUGGUGAGAGUGGCGCACGGGUGAGUAAUGCGUGAGCAACCUACCCUUGUCAGGGGGAUAGCCCGGCGAAAGUCGGAUUAAUACCGCAUGACAUCAUUGAGAGGCAUCUUUCGAUGAUCCAAGAUUUAUCGGACAAGGAUGGGCUCGCGUGACAUUAGAUCGUUGGUAAGGUAACGGCUUACCAAGGCUACGCUGUCUAGGGGCUAGGUGAGGAGAAUCCCCCAGACUUGUACUGAGGCACGGACCAGACUCCUACGGGAGGCAGCAGUAAGGAAUAUUGGUCAAGGGACGGAAGUCUGAACCAGCCAUGCCGCGUGCAGGAAGACGGCCCUAGGGGUUGUAAACUGCUUUUAUACGGGAACAGACGUCGGUACGGGUACCGGUCUGAGGGUACCGAAAGAAUAAGGAUCGGCUAACUCCGUG